AUACGUAGGGUGCGAGCGUUGUCCGGAAUGAUUGGGCGUAAAGGGCGCGUAGGCGGCCCGGUAAGUCUGGAGUGAAAGUCCUGUUUUUAAGAUGGGAAUUGCUUUGGAUACUGUCGGGCUUGAGUGCAGGAGAGGUAAGUGGAAUUCCCAGUGUAGCGGUGAAAUGCGUAGAGAUUGGGAGGAACACCAGUGGCGAAGGCGACUUACUGGACUGUAACUGACGCUGAGGCGCGAAAGUGUGGGGAGCAAACAGGGUUAGAUACCCUGGUAGUCCGCACUGUAAACGAUGAAUGCUAGGUGUAGGGGGUAUCGACCCCUUCUGUGCCGCAGUCAACACAAUAAGCAUUCCGCCUGGGGAGUACGGCCGCAAGGUUGAAACUCAAAUGAAUUGACGGGG
rnacentral:rRNA from 1 species